AAGACAUCGGAACGUGCCCAGUCGUGGGGGAUAACUACUCGAAAGAGUAGCUAAUACCGCAUACGAUCUGAGGAUGAAAGCGGGGGACCUUCGGGCCUCGCGCGAUUGGAGCGGCCGAUGGCAGAUUAGGUAGUUGGUGGGAUAAAAGCUUACCAAGCCGACGAUCUGUAGCUGGUCUGAGAGGACGACCAGCCACACUGGGACUGAGACACGGCCCAGACUCCUACGGGAGGCAGCAGUGGGGAAUUUUGGACAAUGGGCGAAAGCCUGAUCCAGCAAUGCCGCGUGCAGGAUGAAGGCCUUCGGGUUGUAAACUGCUUUUGUACGGAACGAAAAAGCUUCUCCUAAUACGAGAGGCCCAUGACGGUACCGUAAGAAUAAGCACCGGCUAACUACGUGCCAGCAGCCGCGGUAAUACGUAGGGUGCGAGCGUAAAUCGGAAUUACUGGGCGUAAAGCGUGCGCAGGCGGUUAUGUAAGACAGAUGUGAAAUCCCCGGGCUCAACCUGGGAACUGCAUUUGUGACUGCAUGGCUAGAGUACGGUAGAGGGGGGAUGGAAUUCCGCGUGUAUCAGUGAAAUGCGUAGAUAUGCGGAGGAACACCGAUGGCGAAGGCAAUCCCCUGGACCUGUACUGACGCUCAUGCACGAAAGCGUGGGGAGCAACGGGAUUAGAUACCCUGGUAAGUCCACGCCUAAACGAUGUCAACUGGAUUGUUGGGAUUAGUUUCUCAGUAACGAAGCUAACGCGUGAAGUUGACGCUUGGGGAGUACGGCCGCAAGGUGGAACUCAAAGGAAUUGACGGGGACCUCACAGCGGGGGGAAGAUGGUGGUUUAUUUCAGUGC
rnacentral:rRNA from 1 species